UACGUAGGGUGCGAGCGUUAAUCGGAAUUACUGGGCGUAAAGCGUGCGCAGGCGGUUCGUUAAGUCAGAUGUGAAAGCCCCGGGCUCAACCUGGGAACUGCAUUUGAAACUGGCGGGCUUGAGUGUGGCAGAGGGGGGUGGAAUUCCGCGUGUAGCAGUGAAAUGCGUAGAGAUGCGGAGGAACACCGAUGGCGAAGGCAGCCCCCUGGGCCAACACUGACGCUCAGGAGCGAAAGCGUGGGGAGCGAUCCGG
rnacentral:rRNA from 1 species